rnacentral:rRNA from 1 species
GAUGAACGCUGGCGGCGUGCCUAAUACAUGCAAGUCGAGCGAACAGAUGAGGAGCUUGCUCCUCUGACGUUAGCGGCGGAAGGGUGAGUAACACGUGGAUAACCUACCUAUAAGACUGGGAUAACUUCGGGAAACCGGAGCUAAUACCGGAUAAUAUAUUGAACCGCAUGGUUCAAUAGUGAAAGACGGUUUUGCUGUCACUUAUAGAUGGAUCCGCGCCGCAUUAGCUAGUUGGUAAGGUAACGGCUUACCAAGGCAACGAUGCGUAGCCGACCUGAGAGGGUGAUCGGCCACACUGGAACUGAGACACGGUCCAGACUCCUACGGGAGGCAGCAGUAGGGAAUCUGCCGCAAUGGGCGAAAGCCUGACGGAGCAACGCCGCGUGAGUGAUGAAGGUCUUCGGAUCGUAAAACUCUGUUAUUAGGGAAGAACAAAUGUGUAAGUAACUAUGCACGUCUUGACGGUACCUAAUCAGAAAGCCACGGCUAACUACGUG